rnacentral:rRNA from 1 species
GUUAAGUGACUAAGCGUACACGGUGGAUGCCUUGGCAGUCAGAGGCGAUGAAAGACGUAGUAACUUGCGAUAAGCCCAGAUUAGGUAGUAACAACCAUUUGAGUCUGGGAUUUCUGAAUGGGGAAACCCACGUGCAUAAGCACGUAUCCUUACCUGAAUACAUAGGGUAAGGAGGCGAACCGGGGGAACUGAAACAUCUAAGUACCCCGAGGAAAAGAAAUCAACCGAGAUUCCGAAAGUAGCGGCGAGCGAAAUUGGACUAGCCCUUAAGCUUUACACGCGUUAGACGAACGGUCUGGAAAGUCCGACGAUACAGGGUGAUAGUCCCGUAGUUGACGACGUGUGUUCAGUGAAAUCGAGUAGGGCGGGACACGUGAUAUCCUGUCUGAAUAUGGGGGGACCAUCCUCCAAGGCUAAAUACUACUGACUGACCGAUAGUGAACCAGUACCGUGAGGGAAAGGCGAAAAGAACCCCUGUGAGGGGAGUGAAAUAGAACCUGAAACCGUGUACGUACAAGCAGUAGGAGCAGGCUUUGUCCUGUGACUGCGUACCUUUUGUAUAAUGGGUCAGCGACUUAUAUUCAGUGGCAAGGUUAACCAUCUAGGGGAGCCGUAGGGAAACCGAGUCUUAACUGGGCGUUCAGUCUCUGGAUAUAGACCCGAAACCAGGUGAUCUAGCCAUGGGCAGGUUGAAGGUUGAGUAACAUCAACUGGAGGACCGAACCGACUAAUGUUGAAAAAUUAGCGGAUGACUUGUGGCUAGGGGUGAAAGGCCAAUCAAACCUGGAGAUAGCUGGUUCUCCCCGAAAGCUAUUUAGGUAGCGCCUCGGACGAAUACUACUGGGGGUAGAGCACUGUUAAGGCUAGGGGGUCAUCCCGACUUACCAACCCUUUGCAAACUCCGAAUACCAGUAAGUACUAUCCGGGAGACACACGGCGGGUGCUAACGUCCGUCGUGGAGAGGGAAACAACCCAGACCGCCAGCUAAGGUCCCAAAUUACUACUAAGUGGGAAACGAUGUGGGAAGGCUCAGACAGCCAGGAUGUUGGCUUAGAAGCAGCCAUCAUUUAAAGAAAGCGUAAUAGCUCACUGGUCGAGUCGGCCUGCGCGGAAGAUGUAACGGGGCUAAGUAGUAAACCGAAGCUGCGGCAAUAUACUUUUGUAUAUUGGGUAGGGGAGCGUUCUGUAAGCGGUUGAAGGUGUGUGGUAACGCAUGCUGGACGUAUCAGAAGUGCGAAUGCUGACAUGAGUAACGAUAAAGGGGGUGAAAAACCUCCUCGCCGGAAGACCAAGGGUUCCUGUCCAACGUUAAUCGGGGCAGGGUAAGUCGACCCCUAAGGCGAGGCCGAAAGGCGUAGUCGAUGGGAAACGGGUUAAUAUUCCCGUACUUCUUACAAUUGCGAUGGGGGGACGGAGAAGGCUAGGUGGGCCUGGCGACGGUUGUCCAGGUUCAAGUGCGUAGGCUUAAGAGUUAGGUAAAUCCGGCUCUUUUUAAGGCUGAGACACGACGUCGAGCACCUACGGGUGUGAAGUCAUUGAUGCCAUGCUUCCAGGAAAAGCCUCUAAGCUUCAGAUUGUAAGGAAUCGUACCCCAAACCGACACAGGUGGUCGGGUAGAGAAUACCAAGGCGCUUGAGAGAACUCGGGUGAAGGAACUAGGCAAAAUGGUACCGUAACUUCGGGAGAAGGUACGCUCUCGACGGUGAAGUCCCUUGCGGAUGGAGCUAUUGAGAGUCGCAGAUACCAGGUGGCUGCAACUGUUUAUUAAAAACACAGCACUGUGCAAAAUCGUAAGAUGACGUAUACGGUGUGACGCCUGCCCGGUGCCGGAAGGUUAAUUGAUGGGGUUAGACUUCGGUCGAAGCUCUUGAUCGAAGCCCCGGUAAACGGCGGCCGUAACUAUAACGGUCCUAAGGUAGCGAAAUUCCUUGUCGGGUAAGUUCCGACCUGCACGAAUGGCGUAAUGAUGGCCACGCUGUCUCCACCCGAGACUCAGUGAAAUUGAAAUCGCUGUGAAGAUGCAGUGUACCCGCGGCUAGACGGAAAGACCCCGUGAACCUUUACUACAGCUUGGCACUGAACAUUGACCCUACAUGUGUAGGAUAGGUGGGAGGCUUUGAAGCACGUACGCCAGUAUGUGUGGAGCCGUCCUUGAAAUACCACCCUUGUAGUGUUGAUGUUCUAACGUCGACCCCUAAUCGGGGUUGCGGACAGUGCCUGGUGGGUAGUUUGACUGGGGCGGUCUCCUCCCAAAGAGUAACGGAGGAGCACGAAGGUGGGCUAAUCACGGUUGGACAUCGUGAGGUUAGUGCAAUGGCAUAAGCCCGCUUGACUGCGAGAAUGACAAUUCGAGCAGGUGCGAAAGCAGGUCAUAGUGAUCCGGUGGUUCUGAAUGGAAGGGCCAUCGCUCAACGGAUAAAAGGUACUCCGGGGAUAACAGGCUGAUACCGCCCAAGAGUUCAUAUCGACGGCGGUGUUUGGCACCUCGAUGUCGGCUCAUCACAUCCUGGGGCUGAAGUCGGUCCCAAGGGUAUGGCUGUUCGCCAUUUAAAGUGGUACGCGAGCUGGGUUUAGAACGUCGUGAGACAGUUCGGUCCCUAUCUGCCGUGGGCGUUGGAAGAUUGAAGGGGGCUGCUCCUAGUACGAGAGGACCGGAGUGGACGAACCUCUGGUGUUCGGGUUGUGUCGCCAGACGCAUUGCCCGGUAGCUAAGUUCGGAAUCGAUAACCGCUGAAAGCAUCUAAGCGGGAAGCGAGCCCUGAGAUGAGUCUUCCCUGAUACUUUAAGUAUCCUAAAGGGUUGUCGGAGACUACGACGUUGAUAGGUCAGGUGUGUAAGUGCUGUGAGGCAUUGAGCUAACUGAUACUAAUUGCCCGUGAGGCUUAACC